UCUGGUAAUUGUGGGGAAGCAGCCGCGGUAAUACGGAGGAUGCGAGCGUUAUCCGGAUUUAUUGGGUUUAAAGGGAGCGCAGACGGGUCGUUAAGUCAGCUGUGAAAGUUUGGGGCUCAACCUUAAAAUUGCAGUUGAUACUGGCGUCCUUGAGUGCGGUUGAGGUGUGCGGAAUUCGUGGUGUAGCGGUGAAAUGCUUAGAUAUCACGAAGAACUCCGAUUGCGAAGGCAGCACACUAAGCCGUAACUGACGUUCAUGCUCGAAAGUGUGGGUAUCAAACAGG
rnacentral:rRNA from 1 species